UUUGUGGAGAGUUUGAUCCUGGCUCAGGACGAACGCUGGCGGCGUGCUUAACACAUGCAAGUCGAACGAUGAAGCUUACAACUUGUUGUGGGUGGAUUAGUGGCGAACGGGUGAGUAAUACGUGAGUAACCUGCCCUCCUUUUUGGGAUAAGCCUUGGAAACGGGGUCUAAUACCGGAUAUUCUGGCAUGCUCGCAUGGGUGUGUUGGGAAAGCUUUAUGUGAAGGGGGAUGGGCUCGCGGCCUAUCAGCUUGUUGGUGGGGUGAUGGCCUACCAAGGCGGUGACGGGUAGCCGGCCUGAGAGGGUGACCGGCCACAUUGGGACUGAGAUACGGCCCAGACUCCUACGGGAGGCAGCAGUGGGGGAUAUUGCACAAUGGGCGAAAGCCUGAUGCAGCGACGCCGCGUGGGGGAUGAAGGCUUUCGGGUUGUAAACCUCUUUCGCUAUCGAACAAGGCUCAUUUUUUGGUGGGUUGAGGGUAGGUGGAGAAGAAGCGCCGGCUAACUACGUGCCAGCAGCCGCGGUAAUACGUAGGGCGCGAGCGUUGUCCGGAAUUAUUGGGCGUAAAGGGCUUGUAGGCGGCUUGUUGCGCCUGCUGUGAAAACGCGGGGCUUAACUUCGCGCGUGCAGUGGGUACGGGCAGGCUUGAGUGUGGUAGGGGUGACUGGAAUUCCAGGUGUAGCGGUGGAAUGCGCAGAUAUCUGGAGGAACACCGAUGGCGAAGGCAGGUCACUGGGCCAUUACUGACGCUGAGGAGCGAAAGCAUGGGUAGCGAACAGGAUUAGAUACCCUGGUAGUCCAUGCUGUAAACGUUGGGAACUAGGUGUGGGGGGCCUUUCCAGGUUUUCUGCGCCGUAGCUAACGCAUUAAGUUCCCCGCCUGGGGAGUACGGCCGCAAGGCUAAAACUCAAAGGAAUUGACGGGGGCCCGCACAAGCGGCGGAGCAUGCGGAUUAAUUCGAUGCAACGCGAAGAACCUUACCAAGGCUUGACAUACACCGCGGGGCUGCAGAGAUGUGGUUGCAUUUAGUUGGUGGUGUACAGGUGGUGCAUGGUUGUCGUCAGCUCGUGUCGUGAGAUGUUGGGUUAAGUCCCGCAACGAGCGCAACCCUUGUCUCGUGUUGCCAGCAUGUUGUGGUGGGGACUCACGAGAGACUGCCGGGGUUAACUCGGAGGAAGGUGGGGAUGACGUCAAAUCAUCAUGCCCCUUAUGUCUUGGGCUUCACGCAUGCUACAAUGGCCGGUACAGAGGGUUGCGAUAUCGUGAGGUGGAGCGAAUCCCUUAAAGCUGGUCUCAGUUCGGAUCGGGGUCUGCAACUCGACCUCGUGAAGUCGGAGUCGCUAGUAAUCGCGGAUCAGCAUUGCCGCGGUGAAUACGUUCCCGGGCCUUGUACACACCGCCCGUCACGUCACGAAAGUUGGUAACACCCGUAGCUCGUGGCCUAACCAUUUUUGGGGGGAGCGGUCGAAGGUGGGGCUGGCGAUUGGGACGAAGUCGUAACAAGGUAGCCGUACCGGAAGGUGCGGCUGGAUCACCUCCUUUCUAAGGA
rnacentral:rRNA from 1 species